GUUGUGCAUUCAAAAGUUCUGCAAAGUGAAAAAGACCAAAAUCCACGUCAAGAGAGUUACUCUCUGCCACAGAAGCACUGCUGCUGCACGGUCUGAAACGCCUGGUUUGGAGUCGAGCCUUUACUUCUGUAAAUUAUAUGGACCUAGCCUUCAGCACUUACAUUUAAAAGGGAAACAGAAGAGUUGACUGAGGUUCAUCCACAUACCAGAAUCAAAUCCAACUGAAAGGGCCCCCAACAGCUUUACCAACUACCCAAAGGAUCAAAUUAAAAAUUGCUGUGCGGAUGCUGUAGCUUGUGUCUGCUGCUGCUUUGCCUGCCUGUGGAUUCUGCCUGCAUGCUGUCUCAUCUCCUGUGUUUCCCUGCCAAGCGAGUAUGCUCAGGAAGACAGACCUCACCACGCCUCACCGCGCCAUGACACCUUCACUCUCAUCUCUCCUGGUGAUUCUACAAGACAUGUCGGGACCCUGGGACCACAAACCAUCUCUUGCACUAUUUUCACCUAGUUGUUCAUUAAAAGAAUCAUUAUUCACUGUCA